CCUACGGGCGGCAGCAGUGAGGAAUAUUGGUCAAUGGGCGCGAGCCUGAACCAGCCAAGUCGCGUGAGGGAAGACGGUCCUAUGGAUUGUAAACCUCUUUUGUCGGGGAGCAAAAGACGCCACGCGUGGCGUUCCGAGAGUACCCGAAGAAAAAGCAUCGGCUAACUCCGUGACAGCAGCCGCGGUAAUACGGCGGAUGCGAGCGUGAUCCGGAUUUAUUGGGUUAAAGGGGUGCGCAGGCGGAAGAUCAAGUCAGCGGUAAAAUUGAGAGGCUCAACCUCUUCGAGCCGUUGAAACUGGUUUUCUUGAGUGAGCGAGAAGUAUGCGGAAUGCGUGGUGUAGCGGUUAAAUGCAUAGAUAUCACGCAGAACUCCGAUUGCGAAGGCAGCAUACCGGCGCUCAACUGACGCUCAUGCACGAAAGUGUGGGUAUCGAACAGGAUUAGAUACCCGGGUAGUC
rnacentral:rRNA from 1 species